CCUACGGGUGGCAGCAGUGGGGAAUAUUGGUCAAUGGACGCAAGUCUGAACCAGCCAUGCCGCGUGCAUGAAGACGGCUCUAUGAGUUGUAAACAGCUUUUGUACGGAGGUAAACGCAGAUACGCGUAUCUGUCUGAAAGUAUCGUACGAAUAAAGAUCGGCUAACUCCGUGCCAGCAGCCGCGGUAAUACGGAGGAUGAAAGCGUUAUUCGGAUUUAUUGGGGUUAACGGGUGCGUAGGCGGUCGGGUAAGUUAGAGGUGAAAUCCCGAGGCUCAACUUCGGAAUUGCCUCUGAUACUGUUCGGCUAGAGAGUAGUGGCGGUAGGCGGAAUGUCUGGUGUAGCGGUGAAAUGCGUAGAGAUCAUACAGAACACCGAUUGCGAAGGCAG
rnacentral:rRNA from 1 species